rnacentral:rRNA from 1 species
GUGUCAGCAGCCGCGGUAAUACGUAGGGUGCAAGCGUUAAUCGGAAUUACUGGGCGUAAAGCGUGCGCAGGCGGUUCGGAAAGAAAGGUGUGAAAUCCCAGGGCUUAACCUUGGAACUGCACUUUUAACUGCCGGGCUAGAGUACGUCAGAGGGGGGUAGAAUUCCACGUGUAGCAGUGAAAUGCGUAGAUAUGUGGAGGAAUACCGAUGGCGAAGGCAGCCCCCUGGGAUGAUACUGACGCUCAUGCACGAAAGCGUGGGGAGCAAACAGGAUUAGAUACCCUGGUAGUCCACGCCCUAAACGAUGUCAACUAGCUGUUGGGGUUUAUUAACCUUGGUAGCGCAGCCAACGCGUGAAGUUGACCGCCUGGGGAGUACGGUCGCAAGAUUAAA